rnacentral:rRNA from 1 species
ACCAGACUCCUACGGGAGGCAGCAGUGGGGAAUAUUGCACAAUGGGGGAAACCCUGAUGCAGCGACGCCGCGUGAGUGAAGAAGUAAUUCGUUAUGUAAAGCUCUAUCAGCGGGGAAGAAAAUGACGGUACCUGAGUAAGAAGCCCCGGCUAACUACGUGCCAGCAGCCGCGGUAAUACGUAGGGGGCAAGCGUUAUCCGGAUUUACUGGGUGUAAAGGGAGCGUAGACGGCAGUGCAAGUCUGGAGUGAAAGGCGGGGGCUCAACCCCCGGACUGCUCUGGAAACUGUACGGCUAGAGUGCAGGAGAGGUAAGUGGAAUUCCUAGUGUAGCGGUGAAAUGCGUAGAUAUUAGGAGGAACACCAGUGGCGAAGGCGGCUUACUGGACUGUAACUGACGUUGAGGCUCGAAAGCGUGGGGAGCAAACAGGAUUAGAUACCCCAGUAC